CCUACGGGUGGCAGCAGUGGGGAAUAUUGGACAAUGGGCGAAAGCCUGAUCCAGCCAUGCCGCGUGUGUGAAGAAGGCCUUCGGGUUGUAAAGCACUUUCAGUGGGGAAGAAAGCCUUGGGGCUAAUACCCUCGAGGAAGGACAUCACCCACAGAAGAAGCACCGGCUAACUCCGUGCCAGCAGCCGCGGUAAUACGGAGGGUGCGAGCGUUAAUCGGAAUUACUGGGCGUAAAGCGCGCGUAGGCGGUCUGAUAAGCCGGUUGUGAAAGCCCCGGGCUCAACCUGGGAACGGCAUCCGGAACUGUCAGGAUAGGGGGAAGGAGCGGGAGGGAAAAUUCCCGGUGUAGCGUUGAAAUGCGGAGAGAUCGGGAGGAAUACCAGUGGCGAAGGCGGCCUUCUGGACUGACACUGACGCUGAGGUGCGAAAGCGUGGGUAGCAAACAGGAUUAGAUACCCGGGUAGUC
rnacentral:rRNA from 1 species